ACGAACGCUGGCGGCAGGCUUAACACAUGCAAGUCGAGCGCCCCGCAAGGGGAGCGGCAGACGGGUGAGUAACGCGUGGGAAUCUACCCAGCUCUACGGAAUAACUCAGGGAAACUUGUGCUAAUACCGUAUACGUCCGAUAGGAGAAAGAUUUAUCGGAGUUGGAUGAGCCCGCGUUGGAUUAGCUAGUUGGUGGGGUAAUGGCCUACCAAGGCGACGAUCCAUAGCUGGUCUGAGAGGAUGAUCAGCCACACUGGGACUGAGACACGGCCCAGACUCCUACGGGAGGCAGCAGUGGGGAAUAUUGGACAAUGGGCGCAAGCCUGAUCCAGCCAUGCCGCGUGAGUGAUGAAGGCCCUAGGGUUGUAAAGCUCUUUCAACGGUGAAGAUAAUGACGGUAACCGUAGAAGAAGCCCCGGCUAACUUCGU
rnacentral:rRNA from 1 species